rnacentral:rRNA from 1 species
CUACGGGUUGCUGCAGUGGGGAAUAUUGGACAAUGGGGGAAACCCUGAUCCAGCAAUGCCGCGUGUGUGAAGAAGGCCUGCGGGUUGUAAAGCACUUUCGGUUGGGAGGACUGCUUCUAGCACUAAUAUUGUUGGAAGUUGACGUUACCUUCAGAAGAAGCACCGGCUAACUCCGUGCCAGCAGCCGCGGUAAUACGGAGGGUGCAGGCGUUAAUCGGAAUUACUGGGCGUAAAGCGCGCGUAGGCGGCUAGAUCAGUCGGGUGUGAAAGCCCCGGGCUUAACCUGGGAACUGCAUCCGAUACUGUCUAGCUUGAGUACAGGAGAGGAGAGUGGAAUUCCACAUGUAGCGGUGAAAUGCGUAGAUAUGUGGAGGAACACCAAUGGCGAAGGCAGCUCUCUGGCCUGAUACUGACGCUGAUGUGCGAAAGCGUGGGGAGCAAACAGGAUUAGAUACCCCCGUAGUC